ACGGUGGCCUCACCGGUUAACCCGCAUUUACUGUUAUUCACCAUAGUGGGAGUGCAUGUUGCUGUAUUCAUUGUUGUGUUGGGUUCACUUAUAUGGCAUUUUGGAAAGUGCAAACACAGAACAGGUCGCAUGACAAACCUAAGCUUCCGGCAUGUGACUUUGGGCCGAAGCGGCUAUGACGAGGACCUUGUAGAAUGUGGAGAAGGAGACAUGAGCAGCCCUGACCAAGAGAAUGGAAAUCCAGCUUCACAGGAACCAGGGGCUGCAAAUUCCACUAAGCAAGAGAAUGAAGCUUUCAUUAAGGAGACUAAAGGGGCAACAGCUGCAAGCUUUUACACUGAGCAACCUCUGUCUUUAAAUAUCUCCACUUUUCAAGGUAAGCAGAGACAAAAACAAACACAAACCCCAAACCACAUUUCAAACAGGAAAGCAGAUUAUUAACCUAACUGAAGAGUUUCCUGUGACACUAAAGUCCAGGGCUCUCUUCGAUGCGAUUGCAGCAUAACUGUAAUGAGCUCUAUUUCAAGUCUUGCGGGAGGCAGAAGCUGCAGAUCGUGCAGUGCUGCAGGACGCAGUGCAUAGUCUACGCUCCAGGUGACUAUAUUUGGAUUACACACACACACACAUGCUGUGUACAGUUGCUCCAAAAUUAAUGAUACCACAAGCCAAGGGUCUU